rnacentral:rRNA from 1 species
AAUGAACGCUGGCGGCAUGCCUUACACAUGCAAGUCGAACGGCAGCGCGGGGGCAACCUGGCGGCGAGUGGCGAACGGGUGAGUAACAUAUCGGAACAUACCCUAGAGUGGGGGAUAACGUAGCGAAAGUUACGCUAAUACCGCAUACGCACUAAGGUGGAAAGUGGGGGGAUCUUCGGACCUCAUGCUCAUGGAGUGGCCGAUAUCUGAUUAGCUAGUUGGUGAGGUAAAGGCUCACCAAGGCGACGAUCAGUAGCUGGUUUGAGAGAACGACCAGCCACACUGGAACUGAGACACGGUCCAGACUCCUACGGAGGCAGCAGUGGGGAAUUUUGGGACAAUGGGGGCAACCCUGAUCCAGCAAUGCCGCGUGAGUGAAGAAGGCC